rnacentral:rRNA from 1 species
GACGAACGCUGGCGGCGUGCUUAACACAUGCAAGUCGAACGGUGAACCUCUUCGGAGGGGAUCAGUGGCGAACGGGUGAGUAACACGUGGGCAACCUGCCCCCGGCUCUGGGAUAACUCCAAGAAAUCGGGGCUAAUACCGGAUGUUCACAGCUUCCCGCAUGGGGGGUGGUGGAAAGGGUUUCCGGCGGGGGAUGGGCCCGCGGCCUAUCAGCUGGUCGGUGAGGUAGUGGCCUUCCAAUGCGGCGACGGAAAGCCGGCCAGGGAGCGUGGCCGGCCACACUGGGACUGCGACACGGCGCAGACUCCUACGUGAGGCAGCAGUGGGGAAUAUUGCGCAAUGGGCCGAAGCCUGACGCAGCGACGCCGCGUGGGGGAUGACGGCCUUCGGGUUGUAAACCUCUUUCAGCAGGGACGAAGCGCAAGUGACGGUACCUGCAGAAGAAGCACCGGCCAACUACGUG